rnacentral:rRNA from 1 species
AACAUGCAGUCGAGCGGGGCAGGUCUUCUGAUGCUGACCAUAGGGGAACGACGGGAGUGUAUGCUUAAACGUGUCUCUAUUAGGGGGAGACUCCUCCCAAAAGGGGUUCUAACCCCAUGAACUCCCUACAGGAGAAAGCGGGAUCUCUUCACCUUGUGCUACUAUAGAUGACCAUGGCUCAUUUUGUCUAUGGGGGGAUAAAAGCUUAUACCCCGAGAUCUCUGCUGGUCUGAGAGGGGAGAUCCCCCUGUGACUGAGAGAGGCCCCCCUCUCCUACGAGGGCAGUGGGGAAUUUAUUGGAUGUGGGGGGAAUGAGAUCCAAUGUGCCUGUGUGUGAAGAACUUUUGGGUAAACUGCUUUUGUAGCGAACAAGAGCCCUGGGUUAAUACCCUGGGGUCAUGAGGUACCACUCGAAUAAACACCGGCUAACUACUCUGUGCAGCCGCCGUAAUACAUACAGGUGCGACCGUUAAUCAUCAUUACUGCUCGUAAAGCGUGCGCAGGCGGUGUUGUAAGACAGAGG